AGCAUAGGCCCUGGGUGCAGCUGCAUGACGAUACACUCCCUGACUGCACAGAAAUAGCUCAAAAAGAAUUAUUAGAGAAAAAAACAGGCUAGAUGAGCACAUUGGUGAAUGCAGAAAAAUGGAGGUGAAUUUGAGGACCUUCACACUGACCUGUGUAGAACCAUUAUUAAACUUACCUUGGUGAUGUGAGAACUUAUGACAAGCGUAUGGAAAAUUUCUUCUGAAGUUGGAUGUGAUUAAAACACUUGGAGAAGUCUAUUCCUUGUAUUCUGCUUGUAGACUCCUGAAUGACAGAAUGGGAAACUCUCUGUUAAAUCUAAAUGUGAACUGUCCAGGAAUGGUGAGGAGGGAGUAGUGGUCAUGAGAAGUUCUAUGCCUGCCUCAACUUCAUCACAAAAAUUCUUCAUUCCUGUGACCAGGACCUUCAUUCAGGACUUAACUGAAGUUAUGCUGGGAAAGAGGCUGCUCCUUCUCCUUCUUAUAGUCUGCAAAAUGGGUGUGUUGUGGCUGAGGUGUGUAACAGGCCACUGAAUGCUAGUGUUGGUAGGCUGCUUAAUGCUGUUCCCUAUUGUUCUCUGAGCUGGAUCCCCAACUGCAAACCACAGACAGUAGGCAAGAUGAUUAUUAGAGGAGAAACUGAAGACUAUUACCACUGAUGAAUCAUAGAUUUCAAUCACUUAUUCUUCUGGAGAAAAAGGCAACAGGGCUGCUGCUUAUUCUGAAGGUCUGAGUGGUGUGGUGAGGAAGAAUGUGAUGAUAUUCAUAUGGGAACAGCAGAAAUGGUGGUGGUUCCCAAACAUCUGAUAGGAGACAGUGGAACAAAGGACAGGGCUGACACAAGUGCCAUUUCAUCACAGCAUGCCCCAAUCCAACGGCACCGUUUCCUGGGAGAUGGAGCAACACUGCGUGCCUAUUAAUCACGAGAGAAGCUCUGCUGUUCUCACAAGUCCUCCAAAACCUGUCUAACUCGAGUGGGCGAGGAUCAGCCCACCCAUGACAAACUACUGCAGCUUUAUCCUACAUACUAUAUAUUAUCAAAAAUGUUAUGUCUGCUCUGAACAAAAUGUCCAAGUGUGAUAAAUGUGGGCAAUGUUUCAAGAAAGUGGGCUUGUCUUCAUGAGAGUGUUGUACUUAAAAUCAAACUUUAAGCUAAUUCAUUGUAAUCAGCCUAAUCUACAGACCUGCAUGAGGCACUCAUUUUUUUGUAAAUAUUGCUGUCACACUUACUGAAAUUAAUAUUUUGUGCAGAUUAGUGUGCUGCUAACUAAAUUACUUUGAAAUCUAACCAAAUUUACUGUGACUUUCUCUUGUAGCUAUGGUUAUAUACUGUGGUCUUAUUUAUAUUAAACACAUUCAGUCCUCUCUGUUAUUAUAAAAAUGUAGGUGCUUUAGGAAAACUUUCAGUGAAGCAACAGGCAUCUUCUCCCAUCCCAUGAGAGCCUAUAUUUCUGGAGGUUAGAGAAGGACUUGUGUAGUCCUGGCUGUGGAAUGUACAGCCAUACUCUCCUCAAACUGCACAAAGGUAGGCCUC
ensembl:lncRNA